AUGUCGCCGAUUCUGUUUAACAUUGUCGUUGACAUGUUGACAAUCCUAAUAGGAAGGGCCAAGGAUGAUGGUCAGGUAGGUAGCCUAGCCCCGCAUUUAGUUGAAGGGGGAGUAUCUAUCCUACAGUACGCUGAUGAUACUAUCAUCUUCAUGGAGCACGAUUUGGCUAAAGCUAGAAACAUGAAGCUGGUUUUAUGCUUGUUCGAACAAUUGUCGGGGUUGAAGAUCAACUUCCACAAAAGUGAAUUGUUCUGCUUUGGAAGAGCCAAAGAAGAACAACAAGCUUACAAAAAAAUAUUCGGGUGCGAAUUGGGAUCGCUACCCUUCACGUAUUUGGGUAUACCAAUCCACCAUCGCAAGCUUUCUAACAAAGAAUGGAAGUGCAUUGAAGAUCGAUUUGAGAAAAAACUUAGUUGA
rnacentral:rRNA from 1 species